rnacentral:rRNA from 1 species
CGUGUAGGCGGUCAGGUAAGUGGAAUGUGAAAUGCCCCGGCUCACCCGGGGACCGGCAUCCCAAACUGCCUGGCUUGAGUAUGGGAGAGGAUGGAGGAAUUCCUGGUGUAGCGGUGAAAUGCGUAGAUAUCAGGAGGAACACCGGUGGCGAAGGCGUCCAUCUGGCCCAAUACUGACGCUGAGGCGCGAAAGCUAGGGGAGCAAGCG